AGUGAACGCUGGCGGCAGGCCUAAUACAUGCAAGUCGAACGGCAGCACAGCAGAGCUUGCUCUGUGGGUGGCGAGUGGCGGACGGGUGAGGAAUACAUGGGAAUCUGCCCAGUCGUGGGGGAUAACGUAGGGAAACUUACGCUAAUACCGCAUACGACCUACGGGUGAAAGAGGGGGACCUUCGGGCCUCUCGCGAUUGGAUGAGCCUAUGCCGGAUUAGCUAGUUGGCGGGGUAAGAGCCCACCAAGGCGACGAUCCGUAGCUGGUCUGAGAGGAUGAUCAGCCACACUGGAACUGAGACACGGUCCAGACUCCUACGGGAGGCAGCAGUGGGGAAUAUUGGACAAUGGGCGCAAGCCUGAUCCAGCAAUGCCGCGUGUGUGAAGAAGGCCUUCGGGUUGUAAAGCACUUUUGUUUGGGUAAGAAAUACCGGUUGGUUAAUACCUGAUCGGGAUGACGGUACCAAAAGAAAUAAGACACCGGCUAACUUCGUAGUCCAGAC
rnacentral:rRNA from 1 species